UCCCGUGUGGCUCACUUGGAAGAGCAUGGUGUUUGCAACGCCAGGGUUGUGGGUUCGAUUCCCACGGGAG
rnacentral:tRNA from 1 species